rnacentral:rRNA from 1 species
GAUCAUGGCUCAGGAUGAACGCUGGCGGCGUGCCUAAUACAUGCAAGUAGAACGCUGAAGCUUGGUGCUUGCACCGAGCGGAUGAGUUGCGAACGGGUGAGUAACGCGUAGGUAACCUGCCUCUUAGCGGGGGGAUAACUAUUGGAAAACGAUAGCUAAUACCGCAUAAAAGUCGACAUUGCAUGAUGUUGACUUGAAAGGUGCAAUUGCAUCACUAAGAGAUGG